rnacentral:sRNA from 1 species
AUAGAAAUAUUUAAGCAAAAUACAACACUAUUUUCUUUCGAAAUAGAAUAAAUGUCAAUAGACUACUCGAAUAUCUAGGUGCAAAUGAAGCAUACUCAAAAAUUCAGAGUUUUUAGAAGAAUUGUGAUUUCUGUCUAUAAUGUUGGUGAAGAAUUUGAAGACGAUAAUGUGAAACUUUCUGAAAUAGCGACACGUAAAGAAGCAAUUAUCGCGUCUAGAACUCUUCACAACUUUUGGAUGCAUAUCGAAAAGACAACACCAAGACUUUUUAAUGCAAUAA